UUGCCAGUCAGUAUGAUGCAUCUCUUUGGCAGCUGGCUCUGUGCAAGCACUCAGGAUGAAGUGAUCAACAUCUGGAUCAGUAUUUGGUUGAACAAUUGGACAUCUUAGCUGAGCUCAUGCAGAAACCUGGCCAUCACAGUGCUUACCUGUAAGUUCUGGAUGCAUAUGUGUGGAGUAAAACUUAAACAAGGACAAAGUGGGCCAAUGCUUCCAGGACAGU